rnacentral:lncRNA from 1 species
CGGGGCGGAGCGGCCCGCGGGUGCGCACGGGGAGCAGCCGGCGCGCCCGGCUCCCGCACCGCGGGGCGGGGAAGGACAGCUCAGGCGUGACAAGCGGGUUUUAGCGGGAGAGCCCCUCCGGCCGGCUCCGCAGGAGGCUUCCGCGGCUGCCGGGCAGGCGAAAGCGUGGUGUGAUGCAGCGGAGGCAGUGCGGGCUGCACAGCAGGGUCCCGUCCCGUCAGUGCUUCGAGGAGUGCCUCUCAUGAUGCUCUAGCAGCCGUGUGCCACAGCGGAGGUGUGCAAACAGAUUUUCAGCUCCUGAAGAAGUGAGCAGAUUAUAGAAAUAACAGGAACAGAAGGAAGACAGCUAUAAAAGCGGGA